GAUGAACGCUGGCGGCGUGCCUAAUACAUGCAAGUCGAGCGAACGGACGAGAAGCUUGCUUCUCUGAUGUUAGCGGCGGACGGGUGAGUAACACGUGGAUAACCUACCUAUAAGACUGGGAUAACUUCGGGAAACCGGAGCUAAUACCGGAUAAUAUUUUGAACCGCAUGGUUCAAAAGUGAAAGACGGUCUUGCUGUCACUUAUAGAUGGAUCCGCGCUGCAUUAGCUAGUUGGUAAGGUAACGGCUUACCAAGGCAACGAUGCAUAGCCGACCUGAGAGGUGGAUCGGCCACACUGGAACUGAGACACGGUCCAGACUCCUACGGGAGGCAGCAGUAGGGAAUCUUCCGCAAUGGGCGAAAGCCUGACGGAGCAACGCCGCGUGAGUGAUGAAGGUCCUCGGAUCGUAAACUCUGUUAUUAGGGAAGAACAUAUGUGUAAGUAACUGUGCACAUCUUGACGGUACCUAAUCAGAAAGCCACGGCUAACUACGUG
rnacentral:rRNA from 1 species